rnacentral:rRNA from 1 species
GAUGAACGCUGGCGGCGUGCCUAAUACAUGCAAGUCGAGCGAAUGGAUUAGGAGCUUGCUCUUAUGAAGUUAGCGGCGGACGGGUGAGUAACACGUGGGUAACCUGCCCAUAAGACUGGGAUAACUCCGGGAAACCGGGGCUAAUACCGGAUAACAUUUUGAACCGCAUGGUUCGAAAUUGAAAGGCGGCUUCGGCUGUCACUUAUGGAUGGACCCGCGUCGCAUUAGCGAGUUGGUGAGGUAACGGCUCACCAAGGCAACGAUGCGUAGCCGACCUGAGAGGGUGAUCGGCCACACUGGGACUGAGACACGGCCCAGACUCCUACGGGAGGCAGCAGUAGGGAAUCUUCCGCAAUGGACGAAAGUCUGACGGAGCAACGCCGCGUGAGUGAUGAAGGCUUUCGGGUCGUAAAACCCUGUUGUUAGGGAAGAACAAGUGCUAGUUGAAUAAGCUGGCACCUUGACGGUACCUAACCAGAAAGCCACGGCUAACUACGUGCCAGCCGCCGCGGUAA